CCGUUCUCUCCUGGUCACUACAUCCACGUCUGCCCCAGAGUCAGUCACUUUUUCUCCCAGUCGCAGGGUUUUCACGUGCCAAUGGGAGUUUGGAAUAAAGUCUUUCUAAAGACUCCUUGUAGAGCUGACAUCUUAUUACUUUGCUUUGGUAUGUUUUUAUUUUUAAGGUUUUUGUUUUGUUUUUUGAGUCAAGAUCUUAUACUUCAGACUAUAUACUUCAGGCUGGCCUUCAACUCACCAUAUAUAUAUAUGGUAAAUACAACACAACUUUGAAGCACUCAUCAUGAGGAUGGAGUGAUAAGAAAAGUAAAGAAACAGCUGCAAUAAAAAGCAAUGUCAAAUAAGCCCCAAAGAGAGGAAGGAACAGACUGCCAGGCAAGUCCUUCUACUCAGAGAUCGUGAAAAACUUUCCAGAUUUGGCAUUUGGGAUGGGUUUUCAAGAUGGGAUUUCUGAAGU
rnacentral:lncRNA from 1 species